ensembl:lncRNA
GGUGAAAGGAAACAAAAUCUGGUUGAACAUUAACCCCAAUUUUCUUUUCCAAAAGUCUUAGUUGGGAAGAUCUGUUUGUAACACUGUACUUAGAGAUACUGCUGAAGGUCUCCAUACCAGAUGGGCACAUAACAGCCGCGGGCACAGCCUGCCAUGCUUCUCACUCCCAUGGCAGUCUCCAUCCUGCACUGCAGCAGCUAUGGAGUAAUGCAAGCAGAACACACCAAGAGGACCGUCAAACCCUCGACCCUGGUCAGUCAGUGCAGAGCUUUCAGUAACAGCAACACGCCAAGAGUUCAUUCUGCUAUUUAUGAGAGGUAUCCUGUACUUCGUAUCAAUCCACUCACUCUACAAACUGACUUCUAGCUACACGAGAGGCUGCAGUAAGAUGGUGCUGUGCUGUACAGUGCUCCUCCAUCCACUCUGCAAAGCCCCCCGGCAGCUGCCAGGAGAGGCCGCAGCUGUACAGAAGCUGAUGUAUAACCACACAAAGGCUGCACUGAAGCCAAGAUAUUUCAUAAUCUCCAUUUUAUUUCUUCGAAGCAAAACACAAGCUGAUUUCUCCAACACUGAAAGGAAAGAAAAUAGCCUCCACCCUGCUAAUGAUCCCUCAGGGGAGGCACCAUCAAGAAGCAACACUUCUUGUAGCAGAGAAAAGCCACGGCUGCUGCUGUCCCAGCAUGCAACAUCAGCCCUGAGAGUUAUCUGCAGCCCACAGACAUCAACUAAUCUCAGCGGGUGAGGAACGAAGCCUCUCCCCAUGGGAACUCAGCUGAUUCAGGGAGGGAGGCACCAGAGGAGCAAGCAAAGGUUGAACCCUCAUAGUUCUGGAAGGCUUGAUGAAAGGUUCGUCUCCACAUGAAGCAGAGCAGAAGACUGUGCAAAUAGAAGUGAAGAGGAUCAACGUAGCACUUGGAAAAUAAUUGUUUCAAUCGUGGAAAAUAAUCUAAGACAAAGCCAUCAGUUUUAACAGUUCCAUACAACAGAAAGUUCGAGUAUCAUCAUAUCCCAGUCUCAGAGAUGAUCUCUCUUCCCAAAAUGAGCUGAAGCAUAUAUCCAAAUCUAAAAUUCUUUAAUACAUUGACAAUUUUUGGAACAAGCUCUGGAUAUACAGCCCGGGGAGCUCUUCUGUACAUUGCAUGAUAUGAGAAUUGUGAAAGACCUUUUCCCCAGAGAACACGAUGCCUGUGGUCUGUUGUCUAAUAUUUCAUCUUUCCAUUUCUGGGCUGACAUUUGAACUGUAACUAUACAGUUCUUUUUAAAAUAUUUGCACAUUUUUGUUCUCCUUCCAGUAAACACAGCUUUUCAACCACUAUGAGCACUGGAUUCAAACACACCUCAUGCUGCCAUUUUACCACUAGAGGGCAGCUCAAUAUUUAUUGAUCGUUCUCAUUAGCUCAAAGAAUUAAUUUCACUGCAUUCCUAACCAAUGGGUCCACAACACAUAACUUUAGCUCGAGAGUCUUAUAAGAACCUUCAUUGUUUUAAGGAAAAACACGGUGGUUGCUAUUUGAAUCACUAGCUUAUCAUGUAGUGCCCUUUAAGAGGUAUGCAGUAUCCCUAUACACCAAUUUCCAAAGGAACUGUGCUCAGUUUUGGAAACAACCCUAUAUUUUGCCAGGGUUCCAUUUGUUUCAUUGGUGUAUUUCUUAUCUCGUAGGCUUAUGGUGUUUCUCUGCUGCUUGUAAGUCCAUAUGCUUUAAACAGCAACAACAGCAAUUUAUCAAAACCCGUGUUUUUAAAGGUCAGCAUUCUUUUAUUAUGCACAUUUACUUAAAACCACAAAUCUAUGUUAAGCAAUUUUCAACAGAAAAGAACUGUCUGAUUCAAGUUUCCUUAUUUUUUUCUUUUUUCUCUGCUAUCAAGUCCUCUGUAAUAUGUAUAAAUCUCCACCGGUGUCAGACCACACCCUCAAACCAACAUUUAGGACAUUUAAGAUUUGCCUAUUUGUAUGUUCUCCUCUUUAAACUCAUCCAUCCUGAGCCAACAAGUGAUCGCUGUCAAUCAGAUCACAGGAGCUCUCCCACUGACCUCAUACUCAGCUCCAUUCCUUGCUCGGGGUCGGCAGGCUCCACCACACCUCUACACACAGUUUAAGUCAAUGUCUGAUUUAAAUGGGGCUCUAACCACAGAUCUGCACAGACAGAAAGCAAAAGGAUCCUUCAGAUAAGCCCCACAGAAGUUUUCCCAUCCCAUCCUCUUCAAGUGACUCAACAGACAAUGUUACCACAUCUCUUGGUGCCCUUAACUGACAAGUUCCCUUAAUUUUGGUCCUUUAUUCUUCUGAAAGCAGCCAUGAGUUGUAUGGAUUACUGCGGUUUCAAAGCCAGCAACUAAUUGUGCCAUCAUACUCAAGCAAAGUGUGGAUUGAGUUUCCAGCCUCAUUCAGAGACCCAUCCCCUCCUCUUACCCCUUCCACAACACACUUCGCACUGCUGCACAGCAUUAGUGUAACAGAAAAAGAAUUUUUUUCUAAGAGUACCAUAUUAAAACAUUAUGCGAU